rnacentral:rRNA from 1 species
GAUGAACGCUGGCGGCGUGCUUAACACAUGCAAGUCGAACGAUGAAGCCCAGCUUGCUGGGUGGAUUAGUGGCGAACGGGCGAGUAACACGUGAGUAACCUGCCCUUAACUCUGGGAUAAGCCUGGGAAACUGGGUCUAAUACCGGAUAGGAGCGCCUACCGCAUGGUGGGUGUUGGAAAGAUUUAUCGGUUUUGGAUGGACUCGCGGCCUAUCAGCUUGUUGGUGAGGUAAUGGCUCACCAAGGCGACGACGGGUAGCCGGCCUGAGAGGGUGACCGGCCACACUGGGACUGAGACACGGCCCAGACUCCUACGGGAGGCAGCAGUGGGGAAUAUUGCACAAUGGGCGAAAGCCUGAUGCAGCGACGCCGCGUGAGGGAUGACGGCCUUCGGGUUGUAAACCUCUUUCAGUAGGGAAGAAGCGAAAGUGACGGUACCUGCAGAAGAAGCACCGGCUAACUACGUG